AAUAAGUUAAAAUUAAUUCAGGAACAAGUGAGUGUGAGCUAUGGUACCUGGAGCAUAGGGCUCUAUUGCCGUUUUUGGUGAUGUUUCUUCAUAGGCAACAUUCCACUGUUCUGGGCUGCAAAAGCUGGUCAAAUUGCUUGUAACUACAGUGUCUCUUCUUCAUGAGGAAAGGAAGGAUCAGAAAAGAACUGAUUUGUACUUGGAAGGUUGGAUGAAGAGAAUGGAAGCUGACAACCGCCUGCACACCGGGGGAUAUAGAAUUCUUGCAUUAACCUUUUGUGUCUAAAGAAUUGUGGAUGCAAUUAAGGCUUGUGGUUGGACUACAGCAUUGAGAAAGAGCCCCAUGGCAGGAAGGCUGAAGGAU
rnacentral:lncRNA from 13 species